AGUGAACGCUGGCGGUAGGCCUAACACAUGCAAGUCGAACGGCAGCACAGUAAGAGCUUGCUCUUACGGGUGGCGAGUGGCGGACGGGUGAGGAAUACAUCGGAAUCUACUUUUUCGAGGGGGAUAACGUAGGGAAACUUACGCUAAUACCGCAUACGACCUACGGGUGAAAGCAGGGGAUCUUCCGACCUUGCACGAUUGAAUGAGCCGAUGUCGGAUUAGCUAGUUGGCGGGGUAAAGGCCCACCAAGGCGACGAUCCGUAGCUGGUCUGAGAGGAUGAUCAGCCACACUGGAACUGAGACACGGUCCAGACUCCUACGGGAGGCAGCAGUGGGGAAUAUUGGACAAUGGGCGCAAGCCUGAUCCAGCCAUACCGCGUGGGUGAAGAAGGCCUUCGGGUUGUAAAGCCCUUUUGUUGGGAAAGAAAAGCAGCAGGUUAAUACCCCGCUGUUCUGACGUUACCCAAAGAAUAAGCACCGGCUAACUUCGUG
rnacentral:rRNA from 1 species